GGGAGUUUAGUUUAUAUAAAACAGAUGUUUUGAAAGCAUCCAAAAAGAAAAUAAUAACUCUUAGCCCCCA
rnacentral:tRNA from 1 species